UGAUAGAGUGAAUGCCUGCGGCUGAU
rnacentral:piRNA from 1 species